rnacentral:rRNA from 1 species
CCUACGGGAGGCAGCAGUGAGGAAUAUUGGGCAAUGGGCGCAAGCCUGACCCAGCAACGCCGCGUGAAGGAAGAAGGCUUUCGGGUUGUAAACUUCUUUUCUCAGGGACGAAGAAAGUGACGGUACCUGAGGAAUAAGCCACGGCUAACUACGUGCCAGCAGCCGCGGUAAUACGUAGGUGGCAAGCGUUAUCCGGAUUUAUUGGGUGUAAAGGGCGUGUAGGCGGGAGCGCAAGUCAGAUGUGAAAACUCAGGGCUCAACCCUGAGCCUGCAUUUGAAACUGUGUUUCUUGAGUGCUGGGGAGGCAAUCGGAAUUCGGUGUGUAGCGGUGAAAUGCGUAGAUAUACGGAGGAACACCAGUGGCGAAGGCGGAUUGCUGGACAGUAACUGACGCUGAGGCGCGAAAGCGUGGGGAGCAAACAGGAUUAGAUACCCCUGUAGUC